AUGCUUUUCUCCGCAUAUACAACCAAAUGGAGUCCAGCUACUCAUCGUAAUCCAGCUGAAAGUUGUUGCAAGUUACCGAAAGAGAGCUGGGGCGAUGGCGUGGAUGGGGAUGGGCCGCCGUCCGUUUCUUCGGAGCAGAGUAGUAGUGUGAAGCGUGAUGAUGCUUGUGAUCUUGUUCCGGAAAUUCAGGGGGCAAAGCGGCUUUCGAUUGCCAAAACUCUCAAGUUUCUCAUAUACAUCUCCAUUGAUUUUGUGCUCAACCAAUCACGCCAUGAAUCUACUACACGCUCCAGCCUAAAUCUAGCACUAGCAGCACCGGGACGGGGGGAGGAAGAUGAUGGGGGUGGGGAGAGAGGAAACGCUGCCCGGGAAAAAGGGUAA
rnacentral:rRNA from 1 species